GGGUUUGGAUGUUAAGGGUCGGGAUUUUGAGUUGUUACCAUUUGGCAGUGGUAGAAGGAUGUGCCCUGCAAUCUCACUUGCCCUAAAGAUUACAGAAUUUGCACUCGCUUCUUUGCUUCAUGGGUUUGAAAUCGAAACCCCAACGGAUGACCCGAUUGACUUGAGUGAGACAGCGGGAUUAACCAACAAUAUGAGUGCCUUGCUUGAAGUCCUUCUCACUCCACGUCUUCCUGCUGAGUUAUAUUAAUAUAAUGUACUAAUUAGGCAACGUGUGCUAUGUUAUGUAUGUUAUUUGAGUGAUUGUUAUUUGUCGAGUCUUUUAUAUUUGUAUCUCAGCAUUGUUCCUGUACUAAUUAGGCAAAGUGUGCUAUGUUAUGUAUGUUCUUUGAGUGAUUGUUAUUUGUCGAGUCCUUUAUAUUUGUAUCUCAUCAAUGAACAAUGCUCACCAGUUUUAUUUGUUUUUCUAAAUAAACUUCUUCUAUCUUUCCUAUAUGUGUUUCAAGGGACAUAUUUGUGAGCAAACAUUCUAGCAUGUGGAAUUUGAGAAGAAAGAUUGUUGAAAACCGGACCAUUAUAGCCCCUAGAAAAAUUUUAAAUAAACAAAAACAUAAAUGGCCCCAUAUAUUCAUGGAAAAAGAUGACGAUACUGAACAGGUCUUAUACCCAUAAUUAACAAGCACGAGUCAUCUGUCUCACCCUGUGGCCAACAAGCAUGUGUGAUUAUCACCGCCUUAUAAUAUUAUAAGGUUCUUGGAACUACAAACAUCACCAAUUUUAAGAGUAAAUCGGGCAAGGUGGGCAUCACCUCUAUAUCUUUAUGUUAAUUUCUUAAUCAAUGAUUGAAAUUAGGCCUCAGAAAUGGUGCACGAAAUGAUUUCGAAAUUCACAAGCUUGUAGCUAAUGUGCUUCCUCCCCUGAUUGGUUGUCUGGCUUAUGGGUUGACCAUUUCGAUACAUGCAGGGAUGCCUUCUCAGGCUGCGAAGUCCAAGCAACAAAUUUGUACAAGAACGAGUAUUUCAAAUUUAUGGUUUGAAAGGAGAACAAAUAAAAUAUAUAUGAAAACAAAAAGAUAACAUAAUCAAAAUCAUUAUGUCUAAUUAACAUACCUCGUUUUUGUUAAAUUCUACGAGACUGAUCAGAUGAAUAAAAUGUAUCAAAAAGGGUGAUGUAAGGUUUUUGGAAUUGCACAGGGUUGCAGAGAGAAGGAAUGUUCUUAACAAAUGCAUUUCAUUCAUCACACCUCACACCAAACAUGUGUGCGGGUAUAUUACCAUUAGAGAAGAGAGAGAGUGAGGUAUUCUCUCUUUCCAUUACAACGAAAUCCAACCAUCCUUGUAAUCUACCCUAUAAGAUAGUUACAAGUGUCAACACAAAUCACUAACUCUAAGAUUACAUCUUAAUUGCACAUUUAGACUAUAAUUCAAUGGCUUACAUUCAAUCUGGAACUAAGGCUUAAUUAAAUACUAUUAACUACAUUGUAAAAGAUGAAGAAUUGGUACAAAGAAAGAUGAAGAUGAUAGAGAGAAAAACCAGAAAGAUUGUAUUGAUUAAAAUGGAGAAAAUGUAUACAAAAGAACUUUUAGAAAUGAUAGCUAUAUAAUCCCUUAUAUAACCAUAUAACCUAAUUACAAUAAUACCCUUCUAACUAUACUAACCAAUCUUAUCCUUAUGACAACCUACCAACACAUUUCAACUAACUAUAUUCUUCAUUACUAAGUAACCAUGUCAUCACUAAUGACUAUGGUUAAUACUCCCCCCUCAAACUGAACUUGGUGUAGCCAAGUGAAGGUUGAACGAGCUAGAACACUGAAACUGAUCUGGAACUGCAAUACCAAGAUGUCUGCAGGGGCUGUUGUCAUUCAUCAAUUCUGCCAUGUUGGCUAUUUCUCAUUUAUUGGUGGUGGUUUUAUGAUGGCACAGGAUGUUCCAAAGUACAUGAUGGUUGCGGGAGAAAGAGCUGUGCUUCGUGGUCUUGGUCUGAACAUACCCAACAAAUUUUCGACUGUGAAUUGAGAAGUCAUCGUCGACACUGCCAAGAAACUAAAUCUACCAAGGAGAAUGACACUCCCAAGAAACUAAACUACCACGGAGAAUGACACUCCAAGAAACUAAAUCUACCAAGGAGAAUGACACUCCAAGAAACCAAAUUACCACGGAGAAUGACACUCCAAGAAACUAAAUCUACCAAGGAGAAUGACACUCCAAGAAACCAAAUCAGCCAAGGAGAAUGACACUCCAAAGCACAACACAAAUCUCACACUUCUACUAAAAAUACCAAAUAAGGAGACUGACACUCCAUGAACACAAAUCAUACUGCAACUUAGGAGAAUGAAACUCCAAAUCAUACUGCAACUUAGGAGAAUGAAACUCCAAGAUUCAUAGAAAGAAUGACACUUUCUUCUUUAAAUCGACAAGAAAACUAUUACUUGCAGAGAUCAACACAUCAAGACCACAGCUUCACUUCAAUUAAACCUCGAAAGUACAUCAAAGACCACAGCUUCAAGAAAUAAGCGUUGCAGAUCACCAAACAAUUCCAAAUGACUGCUAUCAACACUUCGAUGAUCUAUCGCACAACCCAUAUACCAGAAUUCAUUUACCAAUUCAGAAGAACACAUAACCAAAAACCCAAAUCAAAUUCGAGAAAAGAAUCCAGAUGAAGAAAAUAUGGGCAAUUCGUCAAACACUUAGGCUGCACAUAGUCUAAACGUUCUGCCAUACCAGAAAACAGAUCACGGAUCAAAAUCACAGAAAAUCGAAUUCAGAAAACUGCUCUGAAAACACCACCAAGAUGAAUGAGGAAGUAGAUAAUCAACAGUGCAAAGAAAGCAAACUCUGCUGAAUCAUAUAUGCCAUCAUGUUGCAGCCACAGGAACUGCGGUCUCCUCGAGUUCUUCAGCCUUUCCCAGCAAAAUCGCCAACAGAGCCUUAAACACAAUCCGUCCAUCUUCGCCAUCCAGCUUCGAGACAACAGUAGAGGUGCUUAUGCUCUUCUCGACAGCAACUCCAUUGCUCUUGAGACUCUCAGCAAUUAUGAUCAUAGUAGGAAUAACCAUUCCCAAUGCAGAGAGCUCAACUGCAUUGUACUGCUUGAUGUACCUCUUGGCAAGAUUGCAGUAGAAGAAGAAUGGACGCUUGGUGCGCGAAAUGUGAAUCUGAUUCUUGCUCUUCAGCUUCUUUGUCUUCUAAGAACUUGAAUCUUGAAAACCCAGCUGUACGAAAACUCGCUUCUUCAAACCAGGAAGCUCCGGGAAACCCAGCUGUGGCUGUGCCAUUGACGGAGGGCGGUGGGGAUGAAGACCCACAAAACGGAUCUGGAAUGGGAAUCCGAGUCGGUGUCGAAGAACCCGUCGUCGAUUCUGAAAAUGAUGAAGAACCCAUCGUCAAGUGAUCUCAUUGAGGCACUCGUUCAGGACCUUCUUGUCGAUUACAGUCGUAUUGCUUAUCUGCUGGAGAGCGGAAGCACCGAAGGGCUUGACAGAAAAUUCAAGAAAAUCUGAAGAAACUAAUGAGAAAAGAAGUAAAACUAGAAAUAGACUAAUGAGAAGUGGAACCACCAGAAUCCAUAGCAUGAGCCUGGUGGCUCUGAUACCAUAUUAACUACAUUGUAAAAGAUGAAGAAUUGGUACAAAGAAAGAUGAAGAUGAUAGAGAGAAAAACCAGAAAGAUUGUAUUGAUUAAAAUGGAGAAAAUGUAUACAAAAGAACUUUUAGAAAUGAUAGCUAUAUAAUCCCUUAUAUAGCCAUAUAACCUAAUUACAAUAAUACCCUUCUAACUAUACUAACCAAUCUUAUCCUUAUGACAACCUACCAACACAUUUCAACUAACUAUAUUCUUCAUUACUAAGUAACCAUGUCAUCACUAAUGACUAUGGUUAAUAAAUACAUCACUAGCACAAACACUUACAUUCCAACACUCCCUUCUAAGUAGGGAUGGACACGGACCUGGCCGGGGUCAAAAUUGAAAGGACUGGAUGGGACCGGUUUGGAAAUACAAAGGAACGGGCCGGGGUGGGUUUGUGAUAUUUUAAAGUUAGAACUGGACCUAACCCAGCCUGUUUAAAAUGGGCUAUUCUUACGGGUCUCGAGGUCCAUUUUGUAUUUUUUUUUUUUUUGGUUCUCUUCUUCUUCAGCUCUCUCAUUUUAGGAGAUGUCGGAUCAUGGCAACAAGAAUGUGAGCCUUCUAAUUCUCUUAUUCUUCAUGUCUCUAGUUCCCAUUACCCUUUCAAUCCCUACAUAAAAAUUGGGGAUUCUCCCUUAAUCUAAAAACCCAUUAUCCCCAAAUCUCCAAACCCUCAAUCCUAAAAAUGGAAAUCACAGAAGAACAAAGAAAAUGAGCCGACCACCAACUUCUUCUCCACGGAUUGAAGAGCAUAGCCACCACCACCUUUUUUCACGGACGGUCUUCGACAAAAAGGUCGUCCCCUCCGUUCUUGCCUUCAAGGUCAGAUCCUCUGUGUCGCCAACGAGAUUGAGACUUGUUGGAGAUCUUUAAGAUUUGUUGGGGUUUUUCCAAUUUGUCUAAUUUUUGAGAUUUGAUGGGAGAAUUGGAUCGAUUUAGGUUUUAUUUUCAAUUGGGUUUUCUAGAUUUGAAAUGGGUGAUAAAGAUCUGUUUUAUUUUUUUAUUUUUUUAUUUUUUCCGUUUUCUGCUUUUCUGUUAAAUCAAUUUGGGUUUGUCAUCUUCUAUAGAUUUGUAUUAGAAAGUGAGUGAUGGCAGAGGAGGAGGAUGUUCUAUAUCCCUUCGGCAAUAUCACAGCCGGAAAAGGUUGUUAUAGAGCUCCUGCACUGUAGUCCAAUGGUUUAGAUUCAUAUGGGGUGUGGAAAUUAGUGUUUUGUAUUGGAUUGUCGGUUCGGGCCAGGGGGUCGUUUCUUGCAUGAUUUGAACCCCCCGCCCUGCUAUUAACCUCGACCCGCUCCGUGUUGAACUUUAAAAUUUUGGACCCGCCUUGUAUCCGUCCCGAAUCGCUUAGACCCAUCCCGACUCGUGGGUCCAGGACCCGUUUGCCCACCCCUACUUCUAAGUGUUGUGCUGAAAUUACUCCAAGUGCCUUUCUCAUAUUUCAAAUUGAUCCCUGGCCAAAGCUUUGGUAAAAAUGUUUGCCACCUGCCCUUCAGUUCUACAAUACAAAAAAUUAAUUUCUCCAUCUUGUAAAGCAUCUCAAAUGAAACGAAAUCUUCUAUUUAUAUGCCUUGUUUUGUGGUGAUGCACUAGAUUCUUGGUUAUUACUAUAGUAGAAGUGUUGUCACAUAGAAUUUAUGUUGGUUCAACUUGUUCCUCACCAAAAUCUGAUGGUACAAACCUCAACCAGAUUGCUUCUGUAGUAGCUUUUGUUGUAUUGACAUAUUCUGCUUCUGCUAUUGAUAGAGCCACACUACUUUGCUUGAUUGUUGUAUUGUCAUCCUCACUUCCUGACCAAUCACUAUCAAAAUAGCCAAUUAGCAUUGCUUCUUUCCCUUUUUUCAUAAGCUAUUCCAUUGUUAAAUGUGCCUUGAAUGUACCUAAUCACUCUUUUGGCUGUCCCCAUAUGCUUCUUGGUAGGAUUAUGCAAGAAUCUAGCCAACAAGCUUGCUAUAAACACAAUAUAUGGCCUGGUAGCAGUCAAAUAUAAAUGGCUUCCAACAAUUUGUCUAUAUAAAUUCUCCUCAGCUUGUUCACUUCCAUCAAUUUUAGAAAGCUUUUCAUUCACUACAAUAGGGGUAGAAACAAACUUGCAAUCCUUGAGACCAAACUUAUCCAAUAUUGUCUUUGCAUAUUUCUUAUGAUGCAAAAAAUGCAGGAUUCAGUUUGUAGAACACCUAGUCCCAGAAAUUGCUGCAAUAACCCAAGGUCAAUCAUUGCAUACUGCCUCAUCAUAUUAGUUUUGAACUUCAUAAUCAAUUCUUGUGAACUCCCUGUGUAGAUAAUGUCAUCUACAUAUAAGAAAACAAUAAGUAUUCUACUCUCAGAGGUUUUAAUGUAUAAUGUAGCCUCACUAGGACUUCUAUGAAAGUUAGCUUUGGUGAAAUAAGAAUUGAUUUCUUCAUACUAAGCUCUUGGUGCUUGUUUAAGGCCAUACAAUGCCUUCUUGAGUCUGUAGACUUUAUCUUCCUUGUUUUAAAUCACAAAACCAAGAGGUUGAUCAACAUACACUUCUUCUUGUAGCACUCUAUUUAGAAAUGUUGACUUCACAUCUAACUGGGACAAUUUCCAUCCUUUCUGUGCAGCUAAUGCAACAAGUGUUCUAAUUGUAUCAAGCCUUGACAUUAGGGCAAAUGUUUCAUUGAAAUCUACCAUGGCUUUUAAGAAUAGCCCUUUGCAACUAAUCUUGCUUUGUUAUUUUGCACAAAGCCAUCAAGGUUCAAUUUGGUUUUGUAAACCCAUUUGACACCAAUUACUGGUUUAUCAAAUGGUCUACUAACCAAUUCCUAUGUUUGUUUUUCUCUAAUUAUAAUUUCAUUUUCAAUGGCUUUUGACCAUGCUUCAUCCUUGGUUGCAUCUUCAAAGGUUUUAGGCUCAAUAAUGCAUAAGUUACACUUCUCAUACACUUCUGCAAUACUUUUGUACUUGAGUGGAGUAUGAUCAAUAUCAUGCGGACCUUUGGCUCCACUUGUCUUGUAACAUCUAUUUCAACAUGUGAUUCUUCAAAACUUCUAGUUGUCUCAUCAUGGAAUUCUGAAAUCUCAAUUUGAGCCAAGCCUGAUUCACAAGUCACUCCUUCAUUCUUUUUUGAUAUUUCAUUAAGUGAGACUGAAAUACUUUUUUCUUCUUGUACAUUCCAAUCCCAACAUGCUUCUUCAUAAACAGUACAUCUCUGGACAUAAUGACUUUUCCAGAUUCAAUGUUGUACAAUUUGUAACCUUUUUCAAACCUUCCAUACCCUAGAAAUAUACAUCUUGUGCUUGCCAAGUCAAAUUUCUACCUUUAUUAAUCUGGUACAUGUGAAUAACAUAGAGAACUAAACACCCUUAAGUGUCUAAUCCCUGGUUUUCUUCCACUAUAGGCUUCAAAUGGGGUUUUCUUGUCCAAACCCUUAGUUGCACAUCUAUUUAGAACAUACACAACAAUGUUAAUUGCUUCAGCCCAACAUUAAAAUGGUUAUCUUCUUUUCAAACAUCAAACACUUAGCCAUCUCCAGUAUGGUUCUAUUUUUCCCUUCAGCCACACCAUUUUGCUGUGGUGAAUAUGCCACUGUGAGUUGUCUCUCCAUUCCCAUUUCUUCACAAAACCUAUUGAACUUCAUAGAUGUAUACUCUCUUACUUUGUCAUUCCUCAGUUUCUUCAACUUAUAACUGCUUUGCAAUUCAACAGUAGCCUUAAAUUUCUUAAAUACACUGAACACCUCAUAUUUGUAUCUUAAGAAAUAGACCCAACACAUUCGAGUACAGUUAUCUAUGAAGGUAAGAAAGUACCUAUUUCCAUAUUUGUAAUAGUUUGCAUUGGUCCACAAACAUCAGUGUGUACCAGUUCCAGAGAGAUAAUAGCUUUACUCGUUGUCUCAUUUGGAAAUGCAUCCUUAUAAUGUUUCCCAAGAAUGCAACCUUCACAUACUUCUUUGGUGUUUUUGAUCUCUAGUAAUCCAAGCAUCAAUUCUUGCUCUUGAAGCAACUUCAAACUAUUCAUAUUCAGGUGUCUCAUUUUCCUAUGCCAAACCAAAGUUGAUUGACUCACAUUUGCCCUCAAUGCAAUGUGUAAGUCAGUUUGAAGUGAAGGCUCGAAGGAAAACUUUUGUUUCCUCUCGUUGGUACCUUGGCAACCAGAUUGGAGAAAGUGCAGUCAUCAUAAAUCUCAGCUUUGUUGUCUCCAAAAAUCAAAAAAUACCUAUGCUUUAUCAUUUGGCCCACACUAUGUAGAUUCUCAUUUAAACCAAAGACUAACAUGACUUCCUUGAUAUAUCUCCUGCCCAUUUUAGUCUCAACCACCAAGUUUCAUUUUCCAAUAACAUCAACUAGCUGCCCUGUGCCCAUUUCAACCUUUGCGGUCACAUUUCUUUCAAUAUCAACUAGCAUAUCUUCUCUAUCAGUUAUAUGAUUGCUACAACCGUUAUCCACAUACCACACACCUUCAAUAGACUUCAUAUUAGCUGCUUUACUAGCAUAAAACAUAGUUGGUGUAGAGGAAACCUGAUUUGCAUAAUUCAACUGCUGAACACUUUUCUUGUUGUUAUAAUCCUUUGUGCAAAACUCUUCAAUGAAGCAACAAUUUCUUGAACCUCAACCACAUCUAUAUCCUUUUAAUGCUUAAUAACAUAACAUAUAUAAUUAACAUUUUCUGCACAUUUCUCUCUGUAGGUAAUUCCUCUCCAUAGUUUCUCAUUUGAUUAACCUGAUCAAACAAUUUUGUAAGAUAAACAGACAAGGACUCAUCAUAUCUCAUUCUCGUAUAUUCAAAUUCCCUAAGAAGACUUUGCAAUUUAACACUUAUAACCUGUUUAUCUCCGUAAAAUUCUUAUUGUAAGACAUCCUAAGCUCCCUUCAAAGUUUCUUUAAGAGAGAUCCAAGGAAAUAUCUCAUCAGAGAUAGCUCCUUGAAUCAACCCUAAAGCUUUGGCAUCUUUCAUGAGCUUCUCCAUGAGAGUGAUCAUCACAUCACUGCUAGAUUCUUCUUUUUUCUUCUUCUUUGCAUUAGAUUCAUUAUCUCCCUUCGAAUCUGAGCACUCUAACACCUUUUCAACAAACUCCCACAAAUCGUGAGAUUUGAAAAUAGUUUCAUCCUUAUACUCUAGAAUUCAUAAUUAUCGCCAUUGAAGAUCAACGCCCUUAGCUCACUACCUCUAGAUCCCCCCAUGUUAGACACAGAUCACCCAGAAACUCAAGCAAUUUCUUCGAAUUUCAGACUGUUUUCUUCACAGAUUCGAACACCCAGUAUCAAAUGAUUGAACCUGGCUCUGAAGCCAUGUUAGAUUCUACGAGACUAUGAUCUCAGAUGAAUAAAAUAUAUCAAAAAUGGUGAUGUAAGGUUUCGGGAAUUGCAAAAAGUUGCAAAGAGAAUGAAUGUUCUUCACAAAUGCAUUUCAUUCAUCACACCUCACACCAAACAUGUGUACGGGCCAUUAAAGGAGAAAGAGAGUGAGAUAUUCUCUCUUUCUAUUACAAUCAAAUCCAACCAUCCAUGUAAUUUACACUAUAAGAUAGUUACAAGUGUCAACACAUAUCACUAACUCUAAGAUUACAUCUUACCUGCACAUUUGUACUAUAAUCCAAUAGCUUACAUUCAAUCUAAAAACUAAUGCUUAAAUAAAUACAUCUCUAGCACAAGCACUUAUAUUCUAACACUUUUCCCAACUAAAUUUUUUAUGUGUUUAAGAACAUGUUACAAGAGAUACAGAAAAAGAGAGAUAUAUAUACAAGGCAAUAACUAGUUUACCCUAAUACCCAAGUUGAAGGCUCAUUCCAUUAAAAUUCCAAGUGGGAGUCCAACAAUGUAGUAGCAGAAAAGAUUUAUAUGUGCCACCCAUGCUUGCCAUCCCGUUCCCACUGCUACUCAUGUUCAUUGUAAACCCCAUAAAAAUUUGGUCAUGGUCAGUAGAACGAACUUGAUAAAACAUGAUGAACGUUAUUAAGUAUAAGGUUUUUUAGCUAAAAUGGUCCCUGAGAUUUGCAUAACACAUCACUUUGGUCCCUGACAUUAAAAAUCAAUAGAAAUGGUCCCCGAGAUUGUCCACCAUCCAUUAUUUUGGUCAUUCCGUUAAAAACUCUGUUAAGUGUCUCAGAGCUCUUGGCCGAAAGUUUGGGCAAUUUUCAAAGCUUCGUAACUCAAUCGUUCUUAACCAAAUUUGACCCUUAAUAAAUCAAAACGAAGAUAGGAAAGUGUAGAACAAGAUUAUACCUAUUUGAAAGUCCAAUUGUUGCUGGAGAUGGCUGGAAAAUAGCUUGAAAGGUGAUUGGUACCUGGGAAAACUUUAAACCUCGUCGGAAACAAGGCAAACUUUAAACGUUCAUAACUUCUUCAAUACUCAACGAAAUCGAGUGAUUCAAAAGAAAAAAUCAUACUUCUUGAUGGGACAAAGAGAAUGGUACCUUUAUUGAUGGCUAACUCGUUGUGGUUUGGCCAUAAAAUGGCUUGAAAGUGGCUAUCUUGGUCUCGAGUUAGCCAUUUUCGAGCCAUUUUCUAGCCAAACCAUGGGGAAUUAUCCAUUGAGAAAAGGUACCAUUCUAGUUGUCUUGUUGAUAAGUAUGAUUUUUGUUUUUGAAUCACUCGAUUCGUUGAGUAUUGAAGAAGUUAUGAACGUUUAAAGUUUACCUAGUUUUCGGCAAGUUUUCCAAUUUUCCCUCGAACCAGUCACCUUUCAAGCUAUUUGCUGGCCAUCUUCGGCAACCAUUGGGCUUCUAAAUAGGUUUAUUUUUGUUCUACACUUUCCUAUCUUCAUUUUGAUAUAUUAUGGUCAAAUUUGGUUAAGAAACGAUUGAGUUACGAAGCUUUGAAAAUUGCUUAAACUUUCAGCCAAGAGCUCCGGGACACUUAAUGGAGUUUUUAAUGGAACGACCAAAAUAAUGGAUGGUGGACAAUCUCAUGGACCAUUUCUAUUGAUUUUUAAUCUUAGGGACCAAAGUCAUGUGUUAUGCAAAUCUCAUGAACCAUUUUGGCUAAAAAUCCUAAGUAGAAUUUUGAUGUCCAAAAGGUAAGACAUGUGAUUAACUUCUUCAACAACAUCAUUGCUGGUGGUGGAUAUGUAUGUGAUUAUAAGUACACAAAAAAAGACACCAACCAUGGUCGAUUCAAUUACAGAAACCAUCGUUGCAUACUAUGCUGCCUUAUAGUUUCCAGCUCCUAGUUCAUUUGCAACUCUUACUCUGUAAAUUCAUAAAAUAAAUUCCAAAUGAAUGCUAGUGCUUGUACUAUGUCAAAUAACUCUACCAAGUACAAAAAAACUGUUGAUUUCAGUAUUUCUUGCCUCAAUAUUUUUAGUUUCAUUAUUAAAGUGAGAGUAAUUUGGAAACAGUAUAGAAAUGAUACCUCGUUCCAGCAAAGAAGGCUAGAGGAAUCAUGAUCUCCCACCCAUUAAUAGUCAUGCUGCAGAAUAUAGACCCAAUCAUAGCAAUAAUUAGCUAAUAUAGUUCUUCUUUUGUAUUAUUAUUAACGAACGGAUGGAACCGCCCGAGGGGGGGGGUGAAUUCAAAACUGUUACAUGAGGACGGAAAAGUUUGAAUCGGGGACACAAGGGUGGAAUUUAAGUCAGCGCCUUACACACUAGGGUUGGAUCACAUGCAGCUAAAAUAGUCAUGUUAAAACUGAUGAGUCAAUAGUUUACCCUAAUCUUAUUAUCUUAGUAUUAAUUUAUUGAUUAUUUUGGUAAGAUUUUGAUACUUUGAAUUAUAUUUCUGUAAGACAUUCAAUUUUCUCUUGAGCGUAAAGUAUACAAACGGACGAAUUUUAUAGUUUUUUCAAUUGGAGGAUGUUUGUGUAUCUUUCAAGAUGAUUGUAUCAAAGUUUCAGAUUUUUCUACCAAGCCGUUUGACUGUGGCAACGAAAUAAAGGCCCAGCGCGCAGCUUUUCCAGAUUCAUGCUCCUGAACAUUUUGAGUAUUUGGGAGAUCAAGAUGGCAUAUUUUGAGGAAGAUUGCUUCUGAGGAUUUGUAGGGGACGAGUUAAGCUUUCAAAAGAGACAUUUUGGGACCAAAUCAGAGUUUAUUUGGUUAGUCAAAAGUCUGAUUUUCUGAGAAAUCCGAAUUUCAAUUAUAUUGGCUGUUUUAUUAUUUUAUUAUGUUUCCUAGUAUUAUUCUAAGACCUUUUUUUAGGUAGGGUUUUAUUUUGUAUUAGUAUAAAUAAGACUAUUUAGCCAUUAGGGAAAGAAAUGCAUCAAUUCAGAGAACUUAGCUAGGCUUUAACAAUUUUUACCUACAAGGUGUUUUCUAUCUAUGUUCUUAAUAAUAUUUUGUUUUAUGGUUGUUCGUAAUUAAUUUUCGUUUGGUAGGAUGAUGCCUUGAGCCUUAGUAUGAAUAUGUAGUUUUUAUUUAAUUGCUUUAGAUAGUAUGCAUGCAUACUUUGAAUUAUUAAUCACUAUGUUUAAACUGUCUCUAUAUCUUAAUGCUUAAUUACUAUUAGGAUGUUUAGAUAAGUAAUUUGAUGCUAUUCGGUCGGAAUGCCACCGGAGGAUUGAGUAUUACUUCUUGUGAUUGAUAGUUAUAAGUAGGGGUGGAUUUUUUUGCCAAAUUGCUGUGCCAACCGAAUUGCCAACCGUGCCAUACCGAUUUUGUGCCAAAUUUUUUGUACCAAUCGGUAAUGGUACGGUAUUGUACCGUACCGAAAUUUCAUGGUACGGUAUUGGUAAUGGAUACCAUUACCACGGUAUUACCGUACCAUACCGAAAAUACAAUAUAAUUUAUAAUUUAUAGUUUAUAUAAUACAUAAUUAUAUAACACAUAUUUAUAAUAUUCCAAUAAUUUGAAAAUAAAACCCUACUUAUAUUAGCAUUGUUGUUGGUGACUUUGAUCUCUUAAAAUUGUGGAAAUCAAACACAAAAGAGUUCCUAAUUCUUUCACAAAUAGCCAAAAUAUCUUUGUAACCCCCACUUCUUCUGUUGCUAGUGAAAAUGCAUUUAGUCUAGGGAGGAGGGUUGUGAACCCUUUUAGGGUAUUCUUGACUCCUAAAAUAAUUGAGGCACUAGUGUGUACUAGUGGUUGGCUUAGGGCAGGUGAAGUAAACUUCUACAAGGACCAACGGAAGAUAUGCUUCAAUUUUACAAGGAAAUAGAAGAAGAGAAAACAAGAAAGAUAUGCUUUAAUUUUUUUAGUAAAUUUGUUAUUAAAUGGUUUUCAACUUUAAUUCUUCUUGCUACUAAUUAAUAUGUUUUCUUUGUUUGUAAUGUAAGCUUGAUGCAAACUCAAUCUUCUACAAGUUCAAUGCCUCCUCCAAAAGUUUCGACAUCUCAAGCUUGAAUAACUGAUCAAUGAAUUCUCCAUCUUGAAGUUUACUUCCAAUUUUCAUUUGGUUUGAAACUUUAAUUUCUAUUUGGAUUGUUAACUUCUAUUUGUUUUGGUUCGUAACUUCUAUUUGGAUUGUAAGCUUAAUUUUCAUAAUGAAUCUUGAUGCUUCAUUUGAAUUAUUAUGUGUGUGAAUUGUGAAUGAUGAAUAAUAGAUGAAUUUAAUCUAUAAUGUAUAAGAUAAAGGUACAAAAAAAAAAGUUUUGCCCUUGAAUUGGGUUAAAAAAACAAAAACAUUUUGUCCCAAAACAAAAUGGCAAUUACCAUUGCCAUACCAUGCCAACCAAACUUUUGGCAAUACCGAACUUCGGUAUACCGAAAGUUUGGUAUGGUAAUGGUAAUAGAUUUUACCAAACCGAAACUUUGGUACGGUAAUUGGUACAAGGGUUUUGGUACGGUAACCGUACCGAACCCACCCCUAGUUAUAAGUUCACCUAGGGCUAAUGCCAUGUCUUAGGGGUUGUAUGGUUUUUCAAAGGGUUUUCACAAAGUGUAAUGAGUCAUGCAUGUUUAUAUUUUAUCUAAAUGCCACAGACGGAUUGCAUGUUUGAUAUACGUUCUAGCUUGAGUGCCACAAGUAGAAUAUGCAUAAGGAAAACCUAAGCUUCAAAGUUGUAUGUGUAAUUCAUAAGUAAUUGGUAAAACUACAUAAGAUUGUUAAGGUGACGGCAAAAUCCUAGUGUCCUUUUAUCAUUAUUUUCUAAGAUUGUUCCCUUUCAAAUUGGUUUCUUUAAUUGCGUUUUUUUAUUUAUUAAAAAUCGCUUUUGUUAUUUUAAAAUCCAAAACCAACAUUUUCCAAACUUUGUUUUAAAUAGUUAAUUAAAAACUAGUUUAAAUACAAAUUAUUCAAUCAGUUCCUAUGGAAAUGACCUUACUUGAGCUGUUAUACUACAAUAACAUUGUACUUUUGUAAGUAUUUUUAAGUGUUAUUAUUCCUACUUUUGCAGGUGGUAAAAAUGCUAUAAAAAACAAAAGUUUAAAUAUGGUUAAUUUUUCACCGUAAAGUUUUUGAGGUUUUCAACUUUGAUCUUUAAACUAUGUUUUGGAGAUGAUCUAAAAUUUUAUUUUUUACAUAACCUUAAGCGCAUAAAUGCUCUUAACCACUUGAGCUACAUGAUCCUAACAAAUUAUUAUUUUUUAAGUUCUUAGCGAUGUCAAAUAAGUGCGUUUGGUAGAAAAGCUGAUGGUUUAGCACUUCCUAACCUCAUUUCCUAAAUUUCUGAAAUUCUCAACAACAAUUUAGAACAUCGCACUUUCUAACCACUUUUACAGUAAUAUCUUUAAAACGAGGUCAGCUACUAAACAUGUAUCCAUCUCUAUCAAUUUUUGUUGAUUUUUUUAUUGAAUACAAAGGUCGAAGCCAGUGAUUCUUGCUUUUGAUUUCGUAGGUUCUUGAAGAAUUGAAGGUUGAGUGUUUGCUAUUGUUGUGGCUAUUAUCAUGGCUUCUUUUACCGUUAAAAUUGAAGGGUUAUUGGGAUCACAAUUACACUAAGUGGGCAUCUCAGUUCAAAUCUGUGUUGAAAUGUUACAAACUCUUUGGUCAUUUUGAUGGAUCUGUAGUUUGUCCUCUAAAGUUUGUUAUGAAUACUGAAAUUGGGGUUACAAAGCAAGUAUCUGAGGUUUAUCAAGAAUGAGAGUCCACUGAUUUAGCUUUGUUGAGUCUCUUCUGAUGAUGCUAUAAAGCAUGUAAUUGCGUGUAGAACAGCUGGAGAUGCUUGGUCUAAUCUUGAAGAAAGAUAUGCUUCUAUAUCUAAAAUUGAUGCCGAUCACUUAAAAACUGAGUUCCAUACAAUUCAAAAGCAGAGUGAUUUAGUGAAUAAAUAUCUUCUCAUACUUAAGUUUAUUAGGGAUUACUCACUGCAACUGGAAAAUUCAUUUCUCACAAUGAUGUUAUCAUUGCUACUUUAGCUGGAUUGCCCAAUGAAUAUGCUACCAUUAGAACGGUAGUUUUUGCAAAAGAUACCUCUAUUUCUAUGAAAUAAUUAAAAGCUUUGCUUCUUGGUGCUGAAAGAGAAAAUAACAUUGCCAUAAACUCUUUAUCUGAUAGUAUGUCAGCUUUAUACAUGCAUGGUGGUUCUAGGUCUUCAAGGAGUUCACAAUUUAAAAAUGGUCCAUCUAUUUCACAGUCUUCUGAUGUUGAAUCUCCUAGCACUGGAGGCAGGAUUACUGCAGUUCCAAUGGUUCCUUAUGGUGCUCAGCCACCUGGAUUUCCUCCAUAUUUUCCUCAAUCAUCACAGGAUUAGUUGCCUUUCCUUCCUACACCAACUUUUGGUUUUGGAACUGGUAUUGUUGGUAAUUGGAGUUCUGCAUCUAGACAAUUUUUAGUGUCUGGAGCUUCACAUUAUAAUGAGGACAACAACAACAAAGAUCUAAUAAUGGAGGCCAACAUAAUUAUAAUGGGGGUCAUAAGUCUAACUACAGAGUUAAAAAUUUCUAAUGGUUAUAGGCAAAAUAAUGGAUGGUAUGGAAAAUACAAAAUCUAGAACAACAAUGCAGCCUGAGUGUCAAAUUUGUCAGAGAAUGAGUCACAGUGACCUGCAUCAAAUUGUUUCUUUAGGAAUGCUCAAAGGCCUUCUAUUGGGUUCUCUACCAAGUGUCAGAUUUGUGGUGAAAAGGGACAUAGUACACUUGAAUGUUAUCAGAGAAGAAAUUAUUCUUAUCAACCCAGGGGACCACUAUCUUCUCUAGUUCCAACCUUCAUUGCAACUCUACCAAUGGCUCCAAUUUUUCCAAUUCUCUUUCAUCAGCAAGGCACAUCUAACGCUUCAUCUCCUUUUGCAGCACAGUAUUCCUAUAAAGUUCUUGGAUCUACAGUCUAUGCAACACCUCCAAAUUCAUCUGAUAAUGAUAAAGGUUCUUGUUUUAUUAAUGCUAUGGCUGCACAUAAUUCUUCAUCAUUUUCAAAUUCUUCUACAUAGAUUUUAGAUACAUGGGAAUCUCAUCAUAUGACUUCUGAUUUGACAAGCUUGAAUAAUGUCACUCAAUUUGAAGGUGUUGAGACAAUAAAACUUGGCAACGGUCAAGGUUUUCCAGUUGACAAUAUUGGUUCUACUUUGAUAAACACUCCAUCAGGUUCUCUUAUUUUGAAAUAAGUGUUACAUAUCCCUUGUAUUGUUGUCAAUCUUAUGUCAGUUACUUAACUUUGCAAGAACAAUAAAUGUUGGUUUAUAUGUGAUGAUAACUAGUUCAUUGUGCAGGACAAGGUAACAAAGAGAUCUUAUACAAAGGAAGGAUAAAACAUUGUUUCAGAUUCCUGCUUAAAAUUUUUCUUCUACGUUAACUUUUCCUGGACAGUUGAUGAAAUCUUUAGUGUGGCAUCACAUACUGGGACAUCCAACAAAUGAAGUCAUGUCUGUUAUGUUAACUAAGUCUCAAAUUUCUCAUGCUAUAGAUGAUGUGCAUAAAAUGUGUACUGCUUGUAUUUAUAAGAAAUAGAUAAGUAACCUUUUUUCUGUUGAUUUUACUAUAUGUGUUCUUCCUUUUGAUCAAGUUCAUACUGAUAUAUGGGGACCAACACAUGUAUAGUCCAUUGAGGAGUAGACAUAUGUGGAUAUUCCCACUAUUCAAUAAAUCUGAAGUGUUAUCUACAUUGUCCAAUUUUACAAGUUUGUUGAAGUUUAGUUUGGUAUCAGUAUUAAAUGUUUAUUAUAUGAUGGAGGUGGUGAGUUUACUAGUAAAGCUUUUAAGGAAUUCAUCGCUUUAAAAGGUAUGACUCAUAGAGUUUCAUGUCCUUAUACACCUCAACAAAAUAGAUUAGUAGAAAAAAAAAUCUCACAUUGUUGAAACUACCAUCACAUUGAUGGAUGCUGCAAGAUUAUGUCAAAAUUUCUGCUAUCAUGCUUGUGCUCAUGCAAUAGUUUUAAGGCUAAAUAGCCAAAAUGGUCCCUGAGAUUUGCAUAACUCAUCACUUUGGUCCCUAACAUUUCAAAUCAAUCAAAGUGGUCUCUGAGAUUGUCCACCAUCCAUCAUUUUGGUCAUUCCGUUAAAAACUCCGUUAAGUGUCCUGGAGCUCUUGGUCGGAAGUUUGGGCAAUUUUCAAAAGCUUCGUAACUGAAUCGUUUCUUAACCAAAUUCGACCCAUAAUAUAUCAAAAUGAAAAUAGGAAAGUGUAGAAUAAGAUUAUACCUAUUUGGAAGCCCAAUGGUUGCCCGCGAUAGCCAGAAAAUAGCCUCGUCCGAGGGAAAAGUAGAAAACUCGUCGGAAACUGGAUAAAUUUAAACGUUCAUAACUUCUUCAAUACUAAACGGAAUCAAGUGAUUCAAAAACUAAAAUAAUACUAAUCGACGAGGCGAAGAGAAUGAUACCUUUUUCGACGGCUAACUCGCCGUGGUUUGGCCCGAAAACGGCUUGAAAGUGACCAUUGACAGCCACUUUCGAGCCUUUUUCCGGCCCCAACACUGCGAGUUAGCCAUAAAAAAAAGGUAUCAUUCUCUUCGUCUCGUUGAGAAGUAUGAUUUUAGUUUUUGAAUCACUUGAUUUUGUUGAGUAUUGAAGAAGUUAUGAACGUUUAAAGUUUACCCAGUUUCUGGCGAGUUUUCCAGUUUUCUCUCGGACCAGUCAACUUUGAGGCUAUUUUCCGGCCAUCUCCCACAACCAUUGGGCUUUGGAAUAGGUAUAAUCUUAUUAUACACUUUCCUAUCUUCAUUUUGAUAUAUUAUGGGUUGAAUUUGAUUAAGAAACGAUUGAGUUACGAAGCUUUGAAAAUUGCCCAAAUUUCCGGCCAAGAGUUCCAGGACACUUAAGGGAGUUUUUAACAGAAGGACCAAAAUGAUGGAUGGUGGACAAUCUCAUGGACCACUUUGAUUGAUUUGAAAUGUUAGGAACCAAAGUGAUGAGUUAUACAAAUCUCAGGGACCAUUUUGGCUAUUUACCCUAGUUUUAAUAAAUAGGAUGCCAAGUAAAGCUUUUCAAAUGCACUUUUCUUAUUGUGCUCUUUUUUUUAUAAGCCUCUACCCUUUCAAGAAUUAAAUAUAUUUGGCAACUAUUUAUCCUUAUCUAAGGCAUUACAAUGAUAAUAAGCUUCAACAUAUGACUUAUGUGAGCCUAUUUUUGGGAUAUGCCUCAGGUUAUAAGGGUGUGAUAUGUUAUAAUUUUCAAUCCAAGAAGUUAAUUCUAUCAGGACAUGUGCUUCAUGAUGAUUCCAAUUUUCUAACCAAAUGUGUUAAACAAAUGGCUCCAGAGGUUGUGAAAGUUGUACUUACUUUAUCCACUCCUCCAAUAGUUGUGAAUGUAGUUUCUCUUGGUAUACAGCAUAACUUGUCUAAUGGGGAUUCAAUCUAUGAUUCCAUUUCUUCUCUACAUGAAAUUCAUAAUGCAUCUAGUUUCAACUUUACUCUGGUAAAUGCUCAUUCUAGGAAUAGUUUUGAUACUGCAAUAUAUCAAUCUGAAGCAGGGUCUUCACAGGGAUCUGAAACAUCACAUUCUUAGGUUUCUCCUAAAAGUCAAGAUCAGUUCCAACCUUUGUUACCUACUUAAUCUUGCACAGCUUCAAGUACUCCCUCCUAUCUCUUCUCUAGAUGAUUCUACUUAAUGCAGUUAUACCAGAUCCAAUAUCUAGUAGUAAUCAUCCUAUGCAAACAAAGUGACAAUUAGGGGUUAUUGAAAAGAAGAAUUAUGUUGCAUAUUUGGCUUUGUUUCCUAAGCUUAAGUCCUAAAAGAUUGAUGAGCAUGAAGAUUCUUGUAUUGUUGGGUAUUCAUUUAUAGUUGGUAUUAAUGCUUGUGAUGAGUCAAAACUUUAAGAAUUGUUGCUUCUAAUUUUCAUUAGCAGCAAGCAAUGCAAUAUCAGUUUGAUUCAUUGAAAUUAAGCUCAAGGAACAUGGAAUUUAAUUCCUCCACCAGCUAAUAGGUCUAUUAUUAGCAGUAAAUUGGUCUUCAAGAUCAAGAAAUAUCCUUAUGGGAAUAUUGCUAGAUAUAAGGUAAGGUUGGUUACUCAGGGGUUCACUUAAGAGCAUGUUUUGGGUUAUUCCAAAACCUUCAAUCCAAUCAGUAAGGUUAAUUUUCACUCUUGCUACCUGUCACAAAUGGGAACUUAGAUAGUAGAAUCAAAAUACCUUUUUGCACUGAGAUUUACAAGAAGAUAUCUAUAUGAAACAACCAUAAGGGUUUAUUGUAGGGGUGGGCGCGGUGCGGUUUCGAGUGAAACCACAACCGAAACCGAAACUUUUUGCGGUGCGGUGCGGUGCAGUUUUGAAGCCAAAACCGAAAUGAAACCAACCGUUUGGUUCGGUUCGGUGCGGUUUCAAACGGUUUCGGUUUGGUUUUUGAGAAAAAAAAUGUACAAUUUAAAAUAUACACAUAUUUAUGCAUAAGACGGUCUUAUUUUCCUUGUAUAUUAAUUAAUAAAUAUGCAGCAAAAUUGCACCAAAAACAGCAACAACAAUGCAGCAAAAAACAGCUCCAAAACUGCCAAAAAAAUGCAGCCAAACUGCAUAAAAAACGCAGAAAAAUAGCAGCAAAACAACACCAAAAAACUGUACCAAAACUGCAGCAAAAAACUGCACUGAAACUGCCGCAAAAAACUGCACAAAACUGCACAAAAAACAGCAGCUACACAGCAGCUAAACUGCACCAAAAAACUGCACAAAACUGCAACAACAAUGCAGCAAAAAACAGCGCCAAAACUGCCAAAAAAAUGCAGCCAAACUGCAUAAAAAACACAGAAAAACAACAGAAAACAGCAGCAAGACAACACCAAAAACUACACCAAACCUGCAGCAAAAAACUGAAGGGAAAAUCUGCUCACGAGAGUAGAAGGUAUAAUUGUUGAUUGCAAGUAGAAAUCCUAGUUGGGAGCAGCCUCUCCAUAAAUGGGGGUAAGGCUAGCCGACAUUCACCUCUCCCAGACCCUGCGUAAAGCGGGAGCCUUAUGCACUGGGUACGACCUUUUUUUUUUUAAAGUAGAAAUCCUAGAUGCUUUACUGAAUGGAACCUCAUAUGCAUACUUCUUGCAUUGUUCUAGUGGUAAUCUAGUCCCACAAAAAAAUCUAAUCCCACAAAUAUCAAAAGUAAACCUACUUUUAACGAUACGAAAGAAAGCUUGCGUCUCCAACCAACCUACUAAGAAAACCACACAAACUUCACAACAACGACGCUUCCAUAAUUGCGUUUCAACAUUCAUCUGGUAAUUUCUAUGGACAGUUCAAGAACUUGAAGAAGUUUUACAUCAAUCUUACAGGAGAAAUCUACGCGAGAAGCGACUUUAAUUCCCCGAUGCUUAAAGGUCUAAGAUGAAACACAAAUAAUUGAGAUGAUAAAUGUCUACAUUCUACAGAGGAAUACUGCAGCAGUUGUUAGUUGGCAAACAACUUAAUAAACAAGGCGAUCAAUCUUUUGAGUAGCAACAACGAAUCAAAGUCUACAGCAAAAUUUCCAAAAAGCUGAUCCAGAUUCAAGGGUGAGCAUGAACUAGAAUGGAAGAACACAAAAAUCCAUUUCAAAUCUUGAUGCAAGAAACACGAAGGAAUCAAAGACCUAGACAUAACCAAGCACUAAAUUAGGAUAUUCAUGACAGACACAGCCUCGUGGGCAAUCCGCCAUUCGGAUACUCGUCCUCCUCCUCGGUGCAAAUAAAUUCAGAAAAUGGAAGCAAUAAAUUCGAAAAUGGAAGCAAUAAAUUCAGAAAUUAUCUUUCAAGACCCAAACUUCUUUUUAAGACAAAUAACUAACAAAUAACUAAGAAAUUGUCUUACCAUAUUAGCUGGUAAGCAAUGACUCAGUGAGGUCGCAAGGCAAGGCAGAGGCGGAGAUGCAGAUUGCAGUCAGGCAGUUGCCGAUCACUUCCACCGCUUCCAGAGAUGCAAGCAGGCAGUCGCUCGCAGAGGCAGACGCAGAGAUGCAGAUUGCAGAGAUGGAAGCAGAAGCAGCCUGGUGAUCGCAGAGGAUAAACAGAGAUGCAGAUUGCAGAGAUGGAAGCAGAAGCAGUCGCUCGCAGAGGCGGACGCAGAGAUCGCAGAGGCGGACGCAGAGAUCGCAGAGGUGCAAACCCAAAACCGCAAAACCAAUCUAUAAGCUAGUUGAACUAAUUAAAAAUUAAAAAGUUUAAAAUAUAACAUUUAUUUAUUAUAUGAUGUGGUUUCGGUUUCAGUUUCGGUUUCGGUGCGGUUUUGAAAACCCAAAACCAAAACCAAACCGUUUUGUGUGCCGCGGUUCGGUUUUGAAACCGAAACCGUUUCAAAACCGCAAAACCAAACCGUUUGGUGCGGUUUGAUUCGAUUCGUGUUUCAGUUUCGGUUUUCGGUUUCAAGUGCCCACCCCUAGUUUAUUGAUUCAAAGUGUCCUAAUCAUGUGUGUAAAUUGGUUUUGUCCUUAUAUGGGCUUAAACAAGCUCCAAAGGCUUGGAUUUACAAGAAGAUAUUAAUUAUGCAUAAUUAUUGAAUAUUUUGCAAGUUUGAAAUGCCAUGACGUUUUCGAGAACGUUAAUUUCUCUGUUUACCUCCACAUUGAUUGCAAGUUUCAAAUGCCAGAAGAUUGAACAAAAGGCCAAACAGUGGGAUACACUCAUAGUGCGCCAAUGAUACUCAUAUAUAUGUUUUAUAUUGGAAAUAAUGGUUCAUAUCCUUUAACCCGUAUCUUCCAGCAAAUAAUUAUCGACUAUAAUAGAAAACUUUUAACCCCACAAUGGUGCGUCAGUCAGAUAAUAUAUGUUUUAUAUUGGAAAUAAUUGUUCAUAUUUUAACCGUGUUAUCCCGCAAAUAAUUAUCGACUUUCAUCACACCCUUUAUUUAUUCAAGCACAUAUUUCGAUAAUACCAAAUCUUCAAUAUCGAAUCCAAUUGAAAGACAUCUAUCUAUUCGUGGAGAUGGAUUAUUUUUACCUCUCAUAUGAUCUGGUGGUACCUCUCAUGGCAGUCACAUUGGCCUUGUCACUAUUUCUCUACUCCCUGUUAUGGAAAUAUGGAGGGGUAAUCCGAAAAGCGCCACCGGAAGCCGGUAGAGCAUGGCCAAUAAUUGGCCACCUCCACUUAUUAUCAAGCUCAACUGAACCAGCCCAUUUGCUAUUCGGUAACUUGGCCGACAAGUAUGGACCCAUUUUCACUAUAAAGUUCGGAGUGAAGAGAGCUAUCGUCGUCAGUAGUUCCGAAAUAGCUAAGUGCUUCAAAACCAACGACAAAGUGUUUGCAAGCCGUCCAAAAUCUAUAGCCGGAGAAGUUCUGGGCUACAACUAUGCCUUUUUCCCCUUCAGUCCUUAUGGCGACUACUUUCGCCAAAUACGCAAGAUAGCCACACUGGAGGUGCUAUCCCAGACCCGCAUUGAGAAGCUAAAACACAUUCGGGAAUUUGAAGUGAAGGCAUCCAUGAAAGAAAUGCACCGACGAUGGACAGUGAACAAGAAGAGUAGUGGUUCGACUAAGGUGUUGGUGGAGAUGAAAGAAUGGCUUGCGUUUACAAAUGAAAACGUUAUAUUUAGGAUGAUUGUCGGGAAAAGUUUUCUGGAAGCUACUGACUCGAAGUACUCUCAAGGAUGUUAUUUGGGUCGGAAAACGUUUUUGGAAUUUCUUCGAUUAAGUGGGACUUUUGUGAUUUCGGAUUCAAUUCCGUUCCUGAGGUGGUUGGAUUUGGGUGGACAUGAGAGAGCUAUGAAGAAGAUUGCAAAGGAGCUAGAAGAAGUGUUCAAGGGAUGGCUAGAAGAGCAUAAGCACAAGAGGAAGAUUUCGGGCAGACUGAUGGUUGAUGAGCUUGAUUUCAUGGAUGUCAUGCUUUCAAUCCUUGGUAACAAUGAAGUUACUACAUCCUAUGACGCUGAUACUAUCAACAUAGCUACUUCCCUGGUAAUUUUUCACAUACACGUUAUAUUGGUUGAAAUUGAACAUGCAUCUUAUAUUAUUAAAGCAGGUUGUCUUGCUUGUGAAGCCUAAUGGCCACACGUACUUCAGGUCACUUGACUUGUGUUGUCUAUAUGCUAGGCUUUAAAAUUCACCACACAUGAGGAGUGAGUAUUGAAAGUAUUAAACCCACAUCAAGAAAAUGAGGGAUCUUACAUGUGCUUAUAAGUACUACUUACUAUACUGUCGAUUGGUUUUAUGAUGGAACCUCAACUUUCUUCUACCAUGAUGGUGCCUGAUCUGAUAGCUCUUAUUCAUUCUGAGAAAUUCUUGAGUGUGACGGUAAAACCACUUUCAAGUUCACUGAAUUGUUAGACGUGUAUACAUACAUGAAAAUCAGGUUAGAUGGGAGAAAGUGAGUAGAAGGAGAAGGAAAGAGGAAAAGAGUGAGAGAAAGUUAGGGUGGGGAAAAAAUUGUCUUAAAUUGUAAACUAUGUUGGCGUAGAAGAUUGUUGAUGCCAUAUACUUGUGUUUAUGUUACUUGUUUUGCAGACUUUUCUAUUAGGAGGUGCAGAAACUACGACUGCGACAAUGUCAUGGGCUCUAGCUUUACUUGUGAACCACCCUGAAACACUAAAGAAGGUCCAAGAAGAACUAGAUGAAAAUGUUGGUAAAGAUAGACAAGUGAAGGAAUCAGACACAGACAAAUUGGUCUAUCUCCAAGCUGUUAUCAAAGAAUCAAUGCGAUUGCACCCUGCUGCACCACUUGCAAUACCACACCUAUCCACUAGCGAUUGCAUGGUAGGUAACUACCACGUCCCAGCUGGCACACGCCUAUUGGCUAACAUUUCAAAGAUCCAUAGAGACCCAAAUGUGUGGUCAGAGCCAAACGAAUUCAAGCCAGAACGAUUCCUCACAACCCAUAAGGGCUUGGAUGUUAAGGGUCGGGAUUUUGAGUUGUUACCAUUUGGCAGUGGUAGAAGGAUGUGCCCUGCAAUCUCACUUGCACUAAAGGUCACAGAAUUUACACUCGCUUCUUUUCUUCAUGGGUUUGAAAUCGAAACCGCAACGGAUGACCCGAUUGACUUGCGUGAGACAGCGGGAUUAACCAACCAUAUGAGUGCCUUGUUUGAAGUCCUUCUCACUCCACG
rnacentral:lncRNA from 1 species